AGUGAACGCUGGCGGUAGGCCUAACACAUGCAAGUCGAACGGCAGCACAGUAAGAGCUUGCUCUUACGGGUGGCGAGUGGCGGACGGGUGAGGAAUACAUCGGAAUCUACUUUUUCGUGGGGGAUAACGUAGGGAAACUUACGCUAAUACCGCAUACGACCUACGGGUGAAAGCAGGGGAUCUUCGGACCUUGCGCGAUUGAAUGAGCCGAUGUCGGAUUAGCUAGUUGGCGGGGUAAAGGCCCACCAAGGCGACGAUCCGUAGCUGGUCUGAGAGGAUGAACAGCCACAACUGAACUUGGACACGGGCCAGAAGCCCAAGGGAAGCAAGAGGUGGGAAAAAUUGGCAAAGGGCGGAAACCUUAACCAAGCAAUCCGGGGUGGGUGAAGAAGGCCUUGGGGUUGAAAGCCCCUUUUGUUGGGAAGAAAAAGAGCAGGGUAAAACCCCGCUUGUCCUGCGGGAACCAAAGGAUAAGCACCGGCUAACUUCGUG
rnacentral:rRNA from 1 species